AGAUUUAGACAGAGCGAAGAUUAUGCGAAGAAAGAAGGAAAAGGCGGCUGUCUCCAAGACAAAGAGAGAGGCCUCACGGGACGCCAACCCUGCUGACACCUUGAGCUUGGACUUCCAGCCUCCAGAACUGUGAGACAGUAAAUUUCUGUUGUUUAAGCCCCCUAGUCUGUGGUACUUUGUCAUGGCAGACCUAGCAUGCUAAUAUACCCCUCAAACUAGCCACAGCCCAAAGGGGAAUUUGUUUGAUGGAUCAUACACUGCAGGAACAACUGAGGUGCAGCUGGGCCACGUGAAACAACUGGAAUCAGGGAUUUGAAAGCCACUAGGAGCUCACCUCUAUCUUCCAUCUCUGCUUCUCUGACUUUGUCCUCCCAGAACCAGCUUCCUGUACAUGGCAGGGAAUGGCUCCCCCAUUUGCAACUUAAAGCUUCAUCACCUAGGAGGGACUGGCCUUUUGUCCCACUGCUAGUUUACAAAAUCCUAAAGAAGGAUUUUGAUUGGCUGGCCUACGUCAUUGCCCAGCCCAAGACCAAUAAUAGACACAGCAGCUAAUUUGUUCAGCAACUACUCUGUGCAAAGCACUCCAUUCAUUCUACUAAAUAAUUUGCUAAACAUGUGGGGUUAUUAUCAUUAUGAUUACACCUUUACAGAUGAGGAAGCUGAGUCAUGAAGUAGUCAGGGAACUUGUCCCAGGGCACACAGGGUGUGAGCAAUGUCCCUGAGUCCAAUGUGGGGUGGCCAAUGAGUGCAGCUAGCAGGUCCUGUUUUUUGUUUUUUGUUUUGUUUGUUUGUUGUUGUUUUUUGUUUAUUUAUUUAUUUAUUUAUUUUGAGACAGGGUCUCCUUCUGUCUCAUCCAGGCUGGAGAGCAGUGGUGCAAUCAUGGUUCAACCUCCCAGGCUCAAGUGAUCCUCCCACCUCAGUGUCCUGAGUAGCUGGGACUAUAGGCGCAUGCCACCACACCUGCUAAUUUUUUGUAUUUUUAGUAGAGAUGGAGUUCACCACAUUGCCCAGACUGGUCUUGAACUUCUGGGCUCAAGGGAUCCUCCCACCUUGGCCUGCCCAGCCUAGCAAGUCCUUUCUAAACCAAUGAGUCAGUGCCAGUCUCCCAUAGUCCCUGUAAAUCUUGCCACACCCUUCAAGUAUCAUCCACUAUGCAGCCACCUUGCUGGACAAAGGGUGCCCUCUGAGAUCCUGAGAAAAGGCCACAAUGACUUCUGGCUGGCAACUCCAUCAUGCCUUUUAUUCAAAGGCUGCAGUGGCUAAUACAAAGAGAGGCCAGCAGGGUAGUAAACAAUCCCUAAAUUGAGAGCCUGGGAACUCAGAGAGCCUGACCAGCAUCUUGCCCUAAGCAGUCCUGCCCUGUGCUCCAACCUAAUGGGAUCUCUGAAUUCUCCUUGGGCUUUCCAGGCAGCAGAGGAACUUGGCAGGCAGUCUGUAGGUUUCUCAAGCUUGCAGUAAAAUGCUGAGAUUCUGGCCAGUAAUUUCCCCUUCAGACCUAACCUGCCUUGCCCAAUGACUAGGCUUUUGGAAACUUUGAUUCAAGAAAUAGAGCGGUUGGUAAUAAUCUCUGAUGAUCAGUCCGAGCUUGGCAUUUUCAUUUGACCUAGAAUCAGUGAGAUUUGGAGAAGCAACCACUUUGGUGCACUGCCUUGUAGGAGUAGAAAUUGGUUCAGUGCAUCUGGAUGAUAUUGGACACUGUGCAUCAAAAGCCUUAAAGUCAUUCAUGUCCUUUGACUCACUUUGACUCAACAAUUCUCUCUGGACUAUUCCACAAUCCUAUGGAAAUAAUCAAAGUCCUGCAAAAAUAAUUCUUCAUGUUCAUCAUAGCAUUAGUAGAAAACCAGGAAGUACUUUAAAUAUUCAACCUAUAAAGCCGAUUACAUUACUCUCUCUCUCUUUUUUUUUUUCCAGACAGAGUCUUGCUCCGUUGCCCAGGCUAGAGUGCAGUGGUACGAUCUUGGCUCAGUGCAACCUCUCAAGUUUAAGUGAUUCUCAAGCCUCAGCCUCCUGCUAGCUGGGACUACAGGCAUGCACCAGCAUGCCUGGCUAAUUUUUGUAUUUUUAGUAGAGAUGGGGUUUUGCCAUGUUGGCCAGGCUGCUCUUGAACUCCUGACCUCAACUGAUCCUCCAGCCUCAGCCUCCCAAAGUGCUGACAUUACAAGCAUAAGCCACUGUGCUCGGCCCAGUGCAACUCUUUUGAUACAAGGAACUAUUCAAAAAUUAUGUCAUGAAAGUUGGUUUAAUGGCAUGUUGUCAAGUAGGAAAAGAUUUUAAAAAUAAUUUAUACAUAAUUCACUUUGAUUUUUAAACUGUAAAAGUAAAACUAUAGAUUUUUUUCUCUAUAUGUCAGAAAAGACUAGAGGGAUAUAUACACCAAAAUGUUUAUAAUAAUUUUUUCCUUUAUGCUUUUCAACAUUUCCCAGUGGUAAACAUAAAUAACUUAAAAUGACAAAACAACUCUAAUAUGUACUUUUAAGUUAAAAAAAAAAACAUUUUGGAUGGUGUUUCUGUGUUUCUAUAAUUCAUCUGACUCUCAGAAAAGAGAGGUAUUUUUGAAACAAUCCCUUAUAGGCUGGGCACUGAUGUGGGGUAACAAAGCCUAUAGUGUCUUGUCUUGCCAAAUAUUCUCUUUCUGUCAUACAAAGAGCCAAUGUUUUAUAUAAGAUCAUAUUUUUAUAGUUUUCUAAAGAAAUUUUUAAGAGAAAGAAUAUGUUUUCAUUUUGUCUUUUUUUAAUGGAGCUGUACAAAAUUGGCUUCAGAGCCACCUUUCAUAAACAUGUAGUGUUAUGGGCCGAAUAUUUGCGUGUACCCAAACUUCCUGUGUUGAAAUCCUAACCCCAAAGUUGAUGGUAUUAGGAGACAGGGCCUUUGGGAGGUAAUUAGUCAUAAGGGUGGAGCCCUCCUGAAUGGGAUUAGUGCCCUUAUGAAAAAGACCCGGAAGAGCUCUCACACUUCUUUCCACCAUGUGAAGAUACAAGAAGUCGCAGUCUGCAACCCAGAAGAAGGCCUUCACCAGAACUGGCCAUGCUGGCAUCCUGAUCUCAGAUUCCAGCCUCCAGGACUGUGAGAAAUAAAUUCCUGUUGUUUAUAAACCACUCAGCUUUAGUAUUCUAUUAUAGCAGCCCAAUUGACUAAGGCACACAGAAAACUUGUAUGUGUCUUCCAGCAGAAAAGCUGAGUCCCUCCAGGCCUUAGGGCCUAAGAUUCCAACUGCCCUGAAGGAUGAUGCUGUCAUAUCAUGGUUAGUUGCAGCAAUGAGAGGAGCUUUUCCAGUGCAGACCCCAAUGCCUUAGCAUCAAGCUUCCUGGACAUCAGAGGAUCUGUGCUAAGCAACAGAUCAAAAUUUAGGAUGGGUGUUUCCCUGUGCAGGUUAUUUCUGUUGUCUUUCACCCCCACCCUUCUAUAUGCUGUUCUGUAAGUUCAGGGCUGGAAGACCGUAAACUAUAUUCCCAGAAUCCCUGCUGGCAGGCUGUCUGUUAGGCUCGGCCAAUGGAGACAUUGGCUGAAGAUCAAUGGGAGGAGAAGAGAAGCCAUCUGCUUCUGGCUCCCAUAUUGUGACAGUAGCUGGUGGUGCUAUGGUGGCAGUAGGAUUCCAGAUUCAGCAGUGGAGUCAAGGCAGCCCUUUUCCACAGUUCCAGGCUUGGUCUAAGAAUAAUCUUCUGCGUCAGCAUCUUCCCAGCACAGUGGCAGGUGUGGGCUCAUGGGCAGAGCCCAUACUGAUCUUUGGGUAGCACUCCUUCUCCUUAUUGCUCUUCCAGCCCUUCCAGGGCCGUUGUAUUCAAUUUUCUGUACUAAAUUCUCUCUGUUUAAUAUACCUAGAUGGUUUUCUAUUUUCCUGAUUGGACCAUGAGUGAUAUACCGUUAAUAGCUUGGAUGACCAAAUUCAAGGUAUUUAUAUUUUAACAUUCUGGAAAUUGAUACUUUACCUCCAAUACCCUUCCAAGAAAUUGGAAACCCCAGUUGGAGAAUCUUCAACCUCCUCCAUGUUUCAAAUGCUCGUUGCCUUUGGGAUGGGAGCAAAGUAAUGCCAUGGCAACUGCUGGGUGCAUAAGGGCCUGGGGGCCAUAAAGGGUCUGAGUGGUUGUGUCCAGGUUAUAGUCAUCCAUAGUGAGGAUUCCCCCUCCCCAUACCCGAGACCCAGAAAAAGGACUGGACAGAAGAAACACCAUUGAUAACCAAUAGAAAUAUGCCUGAGCGAUAGCUGGCAGCUGCCACUGGAACUUUCUUUGUAUUGGGCUUGGGAGAAUGGCAUAUGCUGGAGGAGGGGGAGAGGAAGGGCUUACAGAGAAAAACAUAGAAACUGAGAGGGUUUGAGUAGUUCGGGGGAACAGCUACAUGGAAUACUCUGAAAGCCUGGUCCCCCUAACAAGGAAAGUUAGCUAAACAAAUCCUCUGUGUAUGUAUGAUUUGGGGUCUCAGAGUGGAAUUCUUUCUAAAGGCAUUGUUUAAAAUACCAUCAAAGGCCAUUUUGUAUCUAGGAUACAGAAAACUAGCAAAGUAGUAUUUAAAAGGGAUAAAUACCCAUUUCACACACACACACACACACACACACACACACACACACACACACACACACACACUCCACUGGCUUCUGCUGGACUCUAUCCUCCCUUCUCUCAGAUUAACAGAAGAAACCCCAAGCUGGAGAGACCGGCCCAUUCCCUUCGUUUUUCCUCCUGCCCAGAAGACAGUGUGGGGCUCCCCCAGUAUGUGGGGCAGAAAAGAGGAGACUGGGAAAAGAGUUAUGAUCCAAUAUUGGGAUAACUGAGGGCCAGUUUCAGGUCCCAGUCACUUCUAUAACCCAGCAGAAUAGCAUGUAGUCAGCACCCAAUAAAUGUUUAUUGAAUCAAAUUUGGUCUGUGCUUCUGUGCAUCUUCUCUGCAAGUCUACCAACUGGAAAGCACUUUGCAAUUUUGUUUCUGAGCCAAUAUACACACCAUCAUUUCUUUUAGCAACCUUCUGGGACUUGGAUUAGCUUUGAAAAAUCCACUAGCAUUAGGAAGUCCUAUGAAAGGGUGUGAGGAUAAAGAAAGACAGUGAUCGAUAUAUUUUUGCUGACUGAUGUGCAGCUCGAAUGUUGAUGAACAGUACCAAGUGGGCAGGUCUCAUCAGACAUACAACGGCAACGAAGUGGCUCACUUCUUGGGCGAGACUAACUUGAAAUUGCUCUAGAAGAAAGAGGGUAGGAGAUGAGCUUCCCCUUCCGAGAAGUAAAUUGGCAGGGCUGACUAAUUAAAGUUAAAAGCAAAUGUCUGAGUCACACUUCCUGGCUUUCUGGCUCCCUCCUUUUGGUCUCCCACUUAUUUCUGAAACAUGUGCUACUCCACUGGAAAACACUGCGGAUAACACAUUUGACACUAAUGUAGACACUAAUGAUUUUAAGUUUC
rnacentral:lncRNA from 10 species